rnacentral:piRNA from 1 species
UACUUGUGUUAUCGCGAAAAUGGAGGUA